CCGUUCAGGCCCGUUCAGGCCAAGGGCAAGGACUUUGUCUGCUCGUAGGGGCAGCGCCCUUGGGUGCCGAGUUAAUGUGUAACCAAACUUGCAAAAAGGUUUAUCUGUUUGUCUCCGGCAAGGACGUCUGGGCAAAUGGCUUUCUGCACCACUACCCUCGGCCUUCGUGCUCGUUCCCUGUGGGCAAAGGAAGGAGCUAGAACCGUCCCGGUCACUGGUCCCCUUCAGUUCUCCGUGGGCGCGUGGGCCGCCCGCUCCUGAGCGAGAUGACCGCGGCCCUUAGGCCCUGGGUGGGGUGGAGCGUCCUCGGGCCCGGCUGGAUUCAGAUGCGGACUCUUCCCCUUGACAGCGUGAUGCUCGGGAGGGCUUGUGCCUUGGUUUCCCCUCCAGCACCACAGAGUGAGCUGCCCCUCCUGCUGGCUUGGGGGAUCUGAGGGCCCGGGGCUGUGCUUGCUGGGACUCUGGGUGUGACCAGCCCCGCCCCCACCCUGGCUAGGGACGGGGCAACGGAGGGUUUCGGUCCGUGACAGGCACGUCCGUCCGUGGGGCAAGCAGGGGCUGUGUCAGCCCUGCGUCAGCCAGAACAGGAAGCUGCGGCCGGGAGCCCCACCCUGCGGGGCCCCUGCGGCCACCACACCUGUCCCCGGAGCCACACAAGCACCGCAGGGGAGGCAGCCCCCGCCCUCAGGCUUCCUGGGCUCCCAGCACCCACCGUCGUACCCCCUGGCCUGCGGGGGCUCCCCCAGCUCCAGCUGCCUCGCCUCUGGGUGCUCUGCUGGCUUCCGGGGCCCCAUUUCCGCCCCCCGCCCCGGGCAGUCUCAUGUUUUACUUUGCAGAGCCGUGGGGAGCAGAGCAUUUGGGGGUGGACGCAACCUGGGCCCCCUUCCUCCGAGUGGAAACCAGUGGAGGGCACAGUGACCUCACGGCAACCCGGGGAAUCUGGACCCGUCAUCCGCCCCCGCCAGGUGCGCCGCGGGGAAAGCGCGUCUCUCUCUGCUCUGAGCCUCGGGUUCUGGCAUUUUGGUGAAAUGCCAACGACGAUGAUUCCGGCGUGGGCACCUUGGUCAGGGUGCUCUCAGGCGCCUGCAGAUCCCGGACAUGAGAGCGCAGGCCUUCCUCUCCGGCCGGCCGUGGAAGACGCCCCAUAUUCUGCAUGA
rnacentral:lncRNA from 1 species